rfam:Stegodyphus mimosarum contig47511, whole genome shotgun sequence.
GUCAACGGCCAUACCAUGCUGAAAGUACCGGUUCUCGUCCGAUCACCGAAGUCAAGCAGCAUCGAGCGCGGUCAGUACUUGGGAAGGCGACCACCUGGGAACACCGCGUGCUGUUGACA